rnacentral:misc_RNA from 1 species
GCUGUCAUCACCACCACCGCCGUCCCUUACCCCGGCGUCCCAUCUUGCCCCUCCGCCGCCUCCCCCUCCCUCUCCCCCCCUCCGCCACCUACGCCGCCGACGAAGUCCCCGUCGAUGAGGAAUUUCUCAAAGCCUUCGCCCCCAAAGAGAAAGAAUCCGAAGACGAGGCCCGCCGCCGCAACUGGAUCGAGCGCGGCUGGGCGCCCUGGGAGGAGAU